rnacentral:misc_RNA from 1 species
GGGGAUUCAGAACACAUUUUCUGAGAUCCAGACCCCGUCAGAGGCAAACGAUUCGAUCAUCCCCGCAUCCUCCUUAUCGUCCUCUUCAAUUCGAGCGAGUUCGAUCCUUUUGUUGAAGCAGGAUUAUGAGCAAUUCUCUGGGGAAUGGCCUAGUCCAGCGCGCCGCAUACCUGCCUUCAGCUGCAGAGAUCAGGAGGGUGCGAUUCGGAGUUUCCGGAGAUCGCU